AUGUGGUGCAGCAACAGAAGACCGAGAUCAGAAUAUUAGAGUAUAAAAUGCUAUGCCCUCCAGAGAAAAAUUCAAGAGAAUGAUAAAUUUCUGCCCAGAAGCUGCUGCUGUUGCCUCGCGAUCUGUGGAGAAACAGAGAACACUGACAACACAGGGUAGGGAAGACCAACCUUCUGCCCGCUGCAGUUGGAUCUGACACCAGCUGAAAGAUGGAAGCACCGCCCUUCCAUGAGCUGAGUUGUCAGCAAUUCAUCCUUAAGGAGAAUCAAGAGAGACAUUCCGUCUCAGCAACCACGAACACCUUGUUUAAAGCCUAAACGGUGCCUCAUCUCAGUAAGACAUGGGAGGGUUUCGAUUAUUAUUCUCCAUAGCGAUGUAUCAACAACACUGCCAAUCAUUCUGUAGAGAAAGAAAGACCUUGCCAAAAAGAGGGGUUGCUAGGAAAGAGUUCAGAGUAGCCCUAGGUAUCAAAGAUACUAGUACCGUCAUUGAGGUUCUGGACUCUGGUUUAGAGUAAAUACUGUUCUCAUUUUGGCCUC
rnacentral:lncRNA from 1 species